rnacentral:rRNA from 1 species
AUUGAACGCUGGCGGCAGGCUUAACACAUGCAAGUCGAACGAGUGGCGGACGGGUGAGUAAUGCUUGGGAAUCUAGCUUAUGGAGGGGGAUAACUACGGGAAACUGUAGCUAAUACCGCGUACCAUAGGAUGAGCCCAAGUGGGAUUAGGUAGUUGGUGAGGUAAAGGCUCACCAAGGCGACGAUCCCUAGCUGGUCUGAGAGGAUGACCAGCCACACUGGGACUGAGAAACGGGCCAGAAUCCUACGGGAGGGAGCAGUGGGGAAUAUUGCGCCAUGGGGGCAAACUGACGCAGCCAUGCCGCGGGAUUGAUGACGGCCUUCGGGUUGUAAAGCUCUGUUAAUCGGGAGACGGUACCGGAAUAGAAAGCCACGGCUAACUACGUGCCAGCAGCCGCGGUAAUAC